rnacentral:rRNA from 1 species
CCCUUAGAUGUCCUGGGCUGCACGCGCGCUACACUGAUGUGUCCAGUAAGCACCUAACCUCUUCCGAAAGGAACGGGUAACCUUUGCAAAGCACAUCGUGAUGGGGAUAGAUUAUUGCAAUUAUUAGUCUUGAACGAGGAAUUCCUAGUAAGCUCAAGUCAUCAGCUUGUGUUGAUUACGUCCCUGCCCUUUGUACACACCGCCCGUCGCUCCUACCGAUUGAAUGUUCCGGUGAGCUCUUCGGACUGCGCGGUCUGCAGUUUCUGCGUUCCGUGCGGAAAGUUGCGCAAACCUUAACAUUUAGAGGAAGGAGAAGUCGUAACA